UUUCCGUAGGUGAACCUGCGGAAGGAUCAUUAUUGAAACUUCAUCCGGGGCGCCGCGGCCCUCAGCACCGGUGGAAACGCCGUGCUGCGGGGGCCGCGCGUGCACUCGUCCAAACCAAACCCCUGUGGACCUUACGGGAUGGCCCGGGUUAGCGCCCGGUGCCGUUCCGCUUUAUACAAACACUUAUCAAAGAAUGAACUGAAAGCGGUCUGACCGCUGGAUAACAAACUGAAACAACUUUCAACAACGGAUCUCUUGGCUCUC
rnacentral:misc_RNA from 1 species